rnacentral:tRNA from 1 species
UAGUGCUUGCGAUAGGUGGGGAAGUGCUUUGGGAGCACUAGGUCGCAGGUUCGAAUCCUGUCGCCCCGA